ensembl:lncRNA
CACCCUCUCUACCCCUGCGGCAUGGACCGCUCCGCCCCUGAUGGGGUCAAAUCAGUUGUGCGAGUUGAAUAGGCUGGUUAAUGUGUGAGCAUGUCAGCACCUUUGGCAGAAACGGUGCAUUAGGCCACAAGGUCACGCCUGAGCCAUCUGAGUUCCACCUCACACGUGAUUCGCUCACUGAGAAGGCAUGCAGCUCGCCCACACGCUUAGCUGACGUGAUGACGAGGAGAAAAACUGUUUUGGUCGAUAGCCAUUCAGUUUUGCCUGUGCGAAGGGUUAGCACGGAGGCGAGCAUAGAGUGUCCAAUACCAAUUGCAGGUCCCAUGCAGGGGCCCUCAGGGCCUUCGGUGGAUGCAGUCGCAGAACCCCUCUCAGGAAGAGGGACACCAGUCUGUGGCUCCCUACAGUCUUGUCAUCAACCUUAGUGUGCUGCCCUGAAAAUACGGGCCACAUACGCCUUCAGGGUAGACUGAGACCGGCCUCUGUCCUGAGGGACUGCAGAAAUUCAAAUAUGGCCGCUACGGGGCACCGUACUGGGUCACUGUCCUGAACCGCACACCAGUCAGAAAAUAGCCUGCACCGGUUUUUGUAUUGCAAGCUGGCGUUAAGGAUGGUUCUUUUAACUGGGUCUCUGCAGUCAGUUAAAGGAUGGUCGGGCCCUCCAGCAGCCAGACCCACAGUGGAAGGCGGCCGGAAUCGGGAUGCAUGAUCCGAUCUCCUAGUUGUGAAAGAAGGUCCCUUCUGUCGAGGAGGCGCCAGGGCGUCCCGCGACAAAGCCUGUGUAGUAGGGAAAACCAAGUACUGGCUGGCCAUAGAGGGGCCACCAGCAAGAGUCUGUGGCCAUGUUGGAGAACUCUGAGGAGCGUUGGCAAUAUCAGAGGAAACAGUGGAAAGGAGUAAAGAAGCCUUUCUGGCCAGAGUAUCCUGACCCAGAGGACUGGUCCUCUCCAUCAGGGAGAACCAGUGGGGGCAGUGGGUUGAUAUCUCCGAGACAUAUAAAUCUACUUCUGCUCCAACGAAGAGAUCCCAGAUGUUCUGUAACACGUCUGGAUGAAGCCGCCACUCCCCCGGGGGAGACUUGUGACGGACAGGAGGUCUGCUACCUGGUUCCGAUCCCCUACAUUGUCCGAAGGCUGGACAGACUCGAUUGAGUCCUUACUGUGAGAAAGCCUAACACUUAUAUCUAAAUGCUUAUUUAAUCUACACAAUGUGGCUUCAUAUUUACUUCUUUGCUCCUGCCUUUGGUAACUUUGAAAGACUGUUAUUCAGUACAAGACAAAUGCAACACAAUCAACAAAGGCAGUCACUGACACUUAGAGAAAAUAAAAGAGUGAAAUUAACAGUAUUUAAAGUGGUAUAUACUGUGCAAAUAAACAAUUCAGCUGCAAUAAACAGGGCAAACUGUUUUUGUAGGAGUUUAAGAAUAGACAAAAGAAAUAAGGUAUUAGGACAUUUAGUACAUUGGAAAGAUCAGUCAUUGCGGCGUUUGAGAUUAGGCGGUUGGUGUUUUUAUUGGUGGGUGGAAAAGCAGUUUCACGCCAUUUUCAACACUUUGACAACCGCGGGAAGGCGUCCCAGUAUUGUCCCGUGUUUCCUCCCAGUCUGACGAGGUGGUGGGCAGGGAAUGAAUUGGGUCUCUUGAGGUGUUUGAGUCCCCGCUCUGACAUCAGCCCUGGUAGAUAUCUGCAACGAUUCUUAGCUGUGUCAUGACUGACCGGCACGUUAAAAAGUUUCCAGCACACAGAAUGCAUAACUGGCGUUGUCUGUCUGAGCUAAUUUAAAGGAAGUAACACUUGGAAAGACCACAGCUGUCCAAUCAAAGAAAAAAAGUUCAUGGCUUUUAAAAGUAAUAUAGAAAUUUGCCAACACUUUGAAGAGAGUUUUGGGGCCAGCGUGGUUUUAAUAGCCUCAACAAAACCUACCAAGAGAGAUGUAUUAACUUUGAUAUGAAAAAAAAAAAAAUACAAAGCUGUGUUUUGAAAGGAUAAGUCGGUGAAAGUAGAGCUUUAGAUAGGAUCACAGUCAAAUAGCUGAGGCCCUGCGCAGGGCUGGUCUCUGAUAUUUCCCUUACAUGUCCAAAAGCAGACAACAGUAUAACCAUGCCUGUUCCUUUUAAGGCAAUCAAGGCACAUGAUGUCUUCUACUUAUCAUGUAUCAUUGUGAAUAAACUAUUCUGACAGAAUUAUGGGUGCCAUCAUCAAGAUUAUGGUUAAAUGUAAUGCAAUUAUUACCGUUAUAUUCCCGCCCAGUGAUUUAAAUGUCCCCUCAAAACAAUAUCAUAAUCAAAUAGAGAAUAUUUUAAGUUUUCUUUUUAUUUGUUGCUCACUUUCAAGGCACCGCAGCAUAAAAUUAGAAUAUCAUCCCAUUAGAGCACCUUAAGAAAAAUUGAUGAUGGCUGAAACUCGGGUGUGUUUUUUGUAAUAACUAUGAAAGGUACUGGGGAAGAACCAACGCGUUUGAGGCGGGUGGCUUUUUCAUUUCAUAAUUUGAUGGCUUUUUCUUUGUCGUCAGUUAUAGUCUGUUAAGACAGUGAGUCAGGAGGCAUUUAACAUACACUUCCAUAUUCCUAGACGACAUAUUUGAAGGGAAAUGGAAAAGGGAAAAAGGUGCCAUUUACCAACAUCCGAACUGACCGCGGACAUGUCAGAAAGAGCUUUCUCACGUACAGCACUACUCGAAAAGAAAAGCUUGAAAGAUACAGCAUGAAUGGAAGGUGGUAUGAGGUUACUUCAAGAAAGCCAUAUUUGACUCAGUGUUUGAACACUGAAAAUGUGUCAAGAGCUCCUUCAUACUCAUUGCUUCAUAUUAACCGCUCAGUGACCCAUUGCGCCUUGUUUAUGGAAGCGGUUUCUCUAUUUGUUUAGUUUUCUCCUUUUGGCCGUUACUCUCCUUCUCCUUUUCACUUUAGAAGUUACACCUCAGCUUUUCAGUCUAAGGUGAAACCUUCUUGGAUGAUAAUGGUCUUGAAAGUAUCAACAUUUAAGAGUGACACUUUAAAAAGCAAAUAUCGGCAGAAUGCCGUUUCUAAUUUUCUGCGUUAAUGUCAAAUAUUUACUUGUGAUCAGUUAGUCCACUGAACGGUUUGGGUUCACGUCUCGUUUUAUUUAGUAGUUUCAUGCCUCUUGUGUCCCCGGGUUAACUUCACUUCACUUCCUGCCUUGUCCUGUCAUCCCCUGUGAUUGUCUGCUGUGUCCCUGAUUGUUUCCACCUGUGUCCAAUCACCUGCACCUUCUCAGUGUAUUUAAACCAUGUGUGUCUCUUGUCCCUUGUCGCAUCAUUGAAUGUUUAACCCUGAAUGUGAGUCUUGAAUGUCAUUCCCUGAAUUGCGUGCGAGUUCCCGGUCCAUUUCUUCCUUUUCGUGUCCAUGUUUUUCCCCUUGGCCUUUUGAUUUGAUUUUUGGAUUUAUUAAAAGUAUUGUUCUUUGUCAAAUCUCUACGUCUGAGUCCCACUUCCGGCCACGCCGGCCGCUCUGACACUGCCCAAGUAAUUCUGCUUCUGAUGAAUUAGUUCCAAUCACAUUCUGUGAUGUUUUGGACAUAGCCCUUCUUAAGCAACACUCCUGGUCGUGUUGCAGCUUGAUACGGGCAUUAUUGAGUGGUUUAACUUGAAACAGCGAUACUCCAUUUUAUUUCUGCACAUGUUUUGUAAGUGCGCUUCCAUUGUAUUUAACCAUCACUGACGAUUUCUUCUGUUCUUAUUCAACUGUUUGCAGGAUCGAUCUCUCUGGUCUGGUUGAACCAUUUACAGCAUUUUAUUUCUCAUCUAUCAAACAGACUUUCUUUGCAAACCCUUUCUUUAGUAUUUUUUGAGGAUUUGAUGCAACCCGGAGGCAUGGAAGCCAUUUCCAAAAACUAAUCCCCUCAGAUAUCUGACUUUAGCAAAUCACACUUUUGUUGGAUGUGGCCCCAAACUUUUAGCAGCAGUCUUUGCAUAUGUAAAGAUGUGGAUGGAUGGCUUUGUGAGUAAACCUCUCAUAGGGAGCUGGUGCACGUUGGAACGACACAGGACUUGUCGGAAAGGGUGGUGCGUAUCGUUUGUUUUACACAUGUCUAAUAGAUGGCUCCACCCUUGGUUAUGACACUGUGGUUACAAUCGUAACUUAAGUUCCAUCCACUGAGACGUAUAUUCCGCCAACUCCCUCAUCCCUUCAUCACCACUAGCAAUGUCCUGGCUCAACCAGAUCCCUUUGCUACUUCAGUCACAUCAAUAUUCCCGUAAAGUACUAAGCAAAGUUGCUCCUGAUUAAAGUUGGUUUACCAGUGUUCUUCUGGGUUAUUCAAUUAAAUCUGAUCCAUCAAUUUAAAGCCCACUUCUAAUUAUAACAGUUCCCUUUGGAAAGAUAUCGCGUGUCACAGUGUCUUCACUGAAAGAGCCCCCUAGAAGGCACUCCAUCAACUUUUAUUUACAAGGAGGCAUCGAAGCGGAUACUCUUUGCUACGCUUUGUUGGAAUACAACCAUGAAGAGAGGAAGUUUUCCCACAGAUACUCCCACAGUACAUUUCAAACCUCUUAAGCCCCACAGCGCCAUUGAACCCUGAUAAUUCUACCAAAUAGCAUCUAAUACACGAUACUCAACACAAACAAAUAUAAUAAUACCGCACAUCAUUGGAAACAUCAGAGCCUGGGCUACAAGGAUAACAAUGUGUGUUAUGUAUUUUUUGGGUAACAAACGGCACAUUUCGCGACCCAUUGAUCGAAGCACCAUGCAAAACUGAGAUUGACAAAAGCAAGCCAAUAACACACGGAUUACAGAGACAUCCGUAACAUACCUCCUCUUCUCUUGAUCUCACAAUCAAACCUUCCCCGCAUUUUGUGCAAAAAAACCACCACCACACAAUCUAAUCUUUGCUUACCAAUCGUAAUGUUUCACCAACUUUUGUCAUUUUCACAGAUAAUACAAUAUAUUUCCAGUGUCUUUUUCAAUGCUACACGCUAUCCCUGUUACGUAUGCUACUUUUAGGUUUCGAAAGAGCAUUUUUCUGACUAAGAACCAAUUUGAAAAGAUCUACGCAUUUUGUCCUUGCAGGUGAUGCUGCACCCCACGUGGAUCUAGGUUAUUCACAUCGACUGACGAAUCAUGAAACAAAAAAUCUUCUGUGUGUGUGUUCUGACGUUUUUAGGAUAAUACAGCUACAUCUUUUUUUUUUUAAAAUUAGUACUUCAAUUAAGAAAUUCAAUUUGUGGCUAUUACUCUCAUUUGUCUUGCCCAAUUGCUAAAUUGGUGUUUCUGCAAUCACACAGUUUAACACCUCAAGCUGCAGAUUUAGUGUGUGUUCAUGAGCUACUGGGAAGGCAGAGUGAUUUUUGAAAUUUUUUAGACUACCAAGCGAGGCGGUUACAAACACUGAAUGCACUGUAAUGACUUACUACCAAUUGUUGCAAUGCAAAUGCACAUGAGGCAUACUGUGAACUGUAGGCAAUAACACAUGACAAAGUGUCCUUAUAUAUUCCGACCGACAUUGCAGUGAGUCCCUCUGGAAAUGAGUAAUUGUCUACUUCAUGCAUGCAACUGUUUGCCUGCUAUAACUUAAUAAAUCCUAAUGGCCAUAUGCUACCAUUGACUUUUUCUUUCAAAUCACCCAACUAUGCAGAAAAUGCAUUGAAUCUGUGUAAAAAGAGAAAUAAGAGGCAUGGGCAAAUUAAGCUUCAGGCCCCGAAGGUUUUUCACUAUUUAAUGGCCAUUUGCAAAAAUUAGGCUUCUGUCUCAUGUUUCCUACUCGUUUACCCAUAAUGCAUUAGCACCAGUGUAUGUCUGACUGAGCAUGACUGACUGCCCACACACUUAGUGACAUGACAAUACUUGCUCGAUAUGUUGUGUGGACCUUUUAUACUAUGACUAAUAGGCGGACUCUGACUGUCCCUGUAACAAAUCAAUAGUUGAGAAUCAUUCGAUUUUGACGGAAUGCUUAUAUUUAUCCAACGCUUGUUUUACAUACUCAGGAAUGAAACCAUCCAAUUAAAUCACAUAUGUGUAUUCUGAAAAGAAUCCCUGCUCUAUGAGAUGAGACACACAGGAGUAACAGUCAAGUCAGUCGAAAUUAUUUUACAUCAUAUGCUCUAAUAAGUGUGAUUAUGGUUACCAAAACUAGAGCAUUGAACCCAGAAAGGACAUGACAAUGGAAAAAGGGAUGGGAGUAAAACCUAGAUAAUAUCCCUGCACAAAUUUGUAUGGUAAAUUUGCACUUCAUAGUGAAUAACGGUAAUUUAAACCUGCAGUGCAAGGGCAGUUCAGUUAUACUGAUACAUGUCUAGGUUAAAACAACCGCACAUACAUUGUAAAAGAAACCAAAUCAUUAGAAGAAAUAAGACAUGAUUGUAAUGUUCCCAACUUUACUAUGAGCAAAUAGCAAAAAUUGUGUGACUGGAUUAUUACUUAAAUGCCCGUUUGGUACGCAGUUGGUUCUGAGUGUUUAGAAUGACAGUUCUGGGUUUACAUCUGAGUUAAGUAGAAAGCCCUUCCCUUCUGUAUGAAACUUUAGCAAGUUCGUAAACUCAAACAAGUACCACAAUACAAAUUGCUUUUGGAUUAACUCAGCACCAAAUAUGCAAAUAAAGAGAGAGGGGAAAGACAUUAAUGACAAAAGACAUGGGGGUUAAAGGGUAGCAGGAAAUGAAGAUUAUGAGAUUGAUGUUGUUGGAUGGUAAUAAAUGGCCCAAAGGGUGUAGCCAAAAUGAAUAUUUGGCUCUUCGUCCGUUUCCAUGCUGGUACACUUUUUGGGGAAAUGGAGUAUCUUAAAUGGGAAUUCAUUGCACCAUUUCUCUGUCAAAAAUUGAAAAAAAUUAAAAAUUAAAAAAAUAUGUUUCUUUUUGUGGUUACUUGGUGAGGCAGAACAAAUAACUAAGCACACAAGAAAAAGUAAGCAGAAUCCCCAUAAGAAAUGUAAGCCCAUACUUUUUUUGUGAGCACUUACAUUUUCUGACAAAGAUAAAUGGAGGAAAGGGAUUUGACCCUGCAGUGUGUUUAAUAAAUUAGAUGAGACAUUGAUUAAUUAGUUAGUUUAAAUCACCAAAAGCUUCAUUAAUUGACAGUCUCUGAGCCAUAAAUGAAUCAUACUCAUCACAAGCAUUCAAAUUUAAAAUUGCACUGAAAGUUGAUGACAAUAUCAACUUUAUCGUAAAACUGCAUGUUCAGCAAAACAGUGGAAAAAUCAGCACGUAACCGCCAACAAGCCGUAACUCAGUCGAAUGGUAAGCCUAAGGAGGGCGAGUUAUUACGGGCGUAGUCCAGUGUUGGAAGGCUGGCAGCGGGAAGCAGAGCGAACAGAAUCCUCGACGGCUUUCUGCUUUAACAGCUGCAGCAUCUGUCCCCGGGUGGCACACGGCCGUUAUACCUCUUGAAUAUGUAUGCAUGUUAUUGGUCCCGGGAGAGCCACUAUAUAUCUGUGGAGCGGUGGACGGGUGACAAUGGGGGCUCAGUCGUCCCUUUCCUUUAUCUGGGCCUGUCUGCCUCCUGAUGUAUCUCUCACCACAACUUGUUCAGAUUGCCUCAUCUAUCAUUGGCCUCAGAUAUGAAAAUAUGGAUUCCUGCAUCGGGGCCCAGUCACAUUGUUACAAGUGCAAUCUGGACGCAUCAUGGGGGAGGCCCUCCUCCGAAGUUAGGGCGGAAGAAGGGGGGCGGGUGGGGUAUUGGUAAAAAAAGACCCCCCCAAGGAGCAGAAAGGAGCUAUUGUGCACAUUCAUUUUUUAUGACAGUUGUUUUUUUAUUAUUAGGGACACAGCUUUUCCUGUUCACUUUUUGAACAAUAUUACAACCUUUCCACUGCCCUAUCUCUUCAUAAGCUUAUUGCUCAACCACUUGUAUGCCUCUCUAUAUAUAUUUUACAUGAUGCGUGGAAGAAAGAAGAACUUGACGAGUAAACAAUGAUUCAGUUACUGUCUAUCUUCAAGGACAUAUGGCCACCAGCAUGGCGGCAAUCAACACCGCAUUGGUGCUGUGAAAUUAAAGAUGUGUUUAUGACUAUACUCCCAUGCCAAAUCUCUCAUACCCCACGUUUGUUUAUUGGCUUCCCUUAAUAAUGUGUGAAGGGGGAUCGUAAUUAGAUUAAGCUUAAUAAAAGACUUACCAAUUUGCAUUACGCAAGGUCAUUCAUUAUCUGUUCACAGACUUAGAAGGCCAAGUUAUCUGUUGGCAAAACUUAAUUUUAGUAAGAAGGCACAACUCCAGAGUUUGAACCAAACAGUCUUUGUUUAUAUGUUUAUAUGGAUGGAAGUAUAGCUUGGAGAAGAAUCAUUGGGUUUUUCUUGGGGCCAAAGACAGUUUUAAGUAAAUAAGACAGUUUUAAGUAAAUAAGCAUGACCUCCGGGUCUUGCUCAGCCUAUAUUAUAAAGCCUGAGAAGAGCGCUUGCACAACCAGUUCUGUUUAAUGAAGAAUGGGUUGAAAGUUGUCAGGCUGGCUAAAUGUAAACAGAUACAAGACAUAGAUAGAAGAGGAAAGUUGCAAUGGUUUAACUGAACGCACACUCAAAAUUUGUGUAUUACCUUGAAAAUGUGACACUCGUCAGGGAAUCUGGAUGGAGCAGAGCAAUAUAUAAUGACUAAACAUAUUACAGCUUCCUCAGUUCCUCAGUUGCCACUGAUUUGUUCAAGGAAAAUACUUUCAGAUGAGCGUACAUUUUUUUAUUGAGAUUGUUUUCACUGGAAUUCAUAAAAUAAAUGUGUCAAUGAAUCAGGUUCAGGUCACUUUUAUUUGUACCCGUAGGUAGACUUGGUCAGAGGCAUCCAUCAUGACGGACAUUACAAAAACACAGACAACAAGGCAAACAUGAUAAAAUUACAAAAAGCCACAAAUCAGUCAAUCAACAAAUACAAUAAUUAAUUACACAAACCUUUCUGUCGCAUCUAUGCGCUGUUGCUAUCAUUUUUUCACCUGUGAUGACCGCUGGAACAAAGCUUUUCUCAUACCUCGUUGUUCUGCACCAUAUACCUCCGUCUAGGAGGAAGAAGUUAAGACUCCCCGUGCAAAGGGUGCGAGUCGUCCUUUAAAAUGGAGCCAGUUAUCCAUUGCAACUGUAAAUAAGUCCAAAAUAAUAUCUUGGUUUUCUCAGUGAGGAAAUAUUUCAGUUUCCUCAAACGAAAUAAACUCCCAGGCUCCUUUUUGCACACAGCUUCACAGUUUGCCUCAAAGAUCAGUUUUGAGUCAAUCACUGUCCGAAGAUAUUUGUACGAUUGUACACGUUCCACUGUCUGACCCUUAAAGCAUAUAGGUUCACGUACGUGGGAUCGUCCUUUAAAAUCAGUUAUAAUAUCUUUGGCUUUAGAUAUUUUCGAUCAAAGACUCUUCACACCAAAGAAGGAGAGGAAUUAACAAGUAAAAGUCUAACAUGAGAUCCAUAACCCUGCAGGUGUAAAAAGUAAAUUAAACAAAGUGACUGUGGCUUCUUUGUCUCCUCUGUGUGACAGGUAAGCAAACCACAUUGAAUCAAGUGCUUGCUCACUUCUACUUAAAAUGUUUGACCUUACCAGUUGUCAUUACAAUUGAUGUGAGUGCAACUGGUCUAAAAUCUUAAUGAUCUCAACCAAAUCAUAUGUAAAUAUCACUUGAGGUAAAAGCUUCUGCUGCCCUAUAGCUGAGCUAUUUCUUCAUACGGACUGGAUUCAACUAUUACCUCAUUUAGUUGUGUAGAUCAAGUGACUACCAUGACAUCAGAUCAGUCAGGAAAUACUUGAAGAGACCCCAUUAUGCCGACAUAUUUUGGGGGAGUAGUGACGCUCAACCUGACCAGAUGGUUUGUUGGUUGACUACCCAAAAGUCCAUUGUUGGCCAAUGGUUAAACCGACAUGAGCAUUUCAACAUGUGGUCCCGUAGCCGGUUUGUAAUUUAGCCUUAAACAACCUGAAAAGGAAGCCAUUUCUUUUAACGCUGGGCCUCACUAACAGAAGUCCCCAGGUCACAUGAUCCCUCCAGCUGAACAUUUUCAUUGAUGUUGACGUUAAAAUGACCCCCCUUUUUCACCCUUCGGUGUUUGUUGUCUUCCAGGUCACGCCUGCUGUAAUAAAAAAAAAUCCACACACCCUCUUGCUUUUUGUGAAUUCUCCGGACAAUGAGUGGUUCGAUUCACAGAUGGGCUUAAUUGGUCAUUACACAGACUGUUUCUUCUAUGGUGUUGGCAGGUUGGCAAGUCUGUUUAACAUCUGGUCCAACUGAUUCACACGUUUGCUUUCUCACAUACGCCUCUUCUGAGUAAUGUCUAGAAGUUCAAGGCUGCAGCUCACACGUGUUGCAAAUACAUGCAUGCUCUCAUGAUCCUUUGGAUCUUCUGACAUUUGCGGUAUUUUGCACAAAGACCCAUAUUGACGGGUGCACAUUCUUAAUGAUUAAGAGCUUGUAUCGACUAUUCCCUCAUGAUGUCCAAAGAAGAGAUCUGAGGUGCAGAGUGGCCUCGAUUGACAUGAAACACGGCUGACGUGAAAAGCAGUGAGCAGGGGAGGAGACCAAUUGUGCUAAUCCCAUAAUCAACGGUGUCUCCACGGAGGGGUUUAGUAUAAAAGCAACAGCUGCAGCGCUGUGGCGGUCACCCACAACAAACCCCAGGUCAUCUGGCAGCGGUUUAAUCAACAUCUAAAUCACAGCAGCUCAACUCAGCAGAUCAAAGUCAACGUUUCCUUUCUUUCCCCUUCUCUCCUGUGCUUGCCGGGGUUCUUCUAUUUUGCCUGGACAGGAGCAGGGUCUGAUGGCUCAGUCAGAAAGGCACAAUCGGAGUAGAUGUUAUCCACUUUGCGUUGAUUUGUCAUCGCAGAUCCUUUUUAGACGAUCCCUCGGGCCUCGCAGCUGCCCUGAUGUGGGAGUUAUCGCUUCCUGCAGCGAGCAUUCCAUGCAAAUGGAAUCCAACAGUCUCGAUGAAAUUAUAGAGGAAAAUGUUUGUGCAAACAGUAAAUGUGGAACUUACAUUUUCACUUCCACCAAAUGGAUCAAGCUGUAUACAAUAGACAGGAUACCACUUACGGUAUGUCGCUUAGUGCCGAACACUGUUAAUGUCAUUUUGAUUCAAGAAAAGGACGAUUAAUGUAUGAUUCAUGUACAAAUGAAGCUUUCAAUACAAGAGAACAUUUCCUUACCAGCUUCGUUGUGGUUAAAGGUUGACACAAUGGGUACAAGUACUUCCCUCGUGCUUUCUGACAAACUUUCUCCUGCCUUUCCAAUUAUUAUGACUUUGGAACCAGUGCUGCAGUGGAUGUCAGAAGAAAUCUCAGUGGCUCACCUUCUCUCCGGGGAGACUCGUUGCUAGUGUAAAUAAGGCUUGUUUUGGAAACUUUCUCCAGACCGUCUUCUGUCUGGUAUAUAAAUAUUUAUAUAUUGAUAUACAUAAAUAUUUCAAUGACCAUAUUAUUUUCCUUAAAAACGUGUUUCUAAACUGUUUAUUCUAGUUAGUUUAUUGGAUAAACUUGAGGGAAUAUUUUGUGUGCGUGUGUGUAGCUGUUAUACUAUUAGACUAAGAUCUGUCGUCUCUCUGUCAGUCCCCAGUUUGUCAACAUAAAGGUUCACUCCUAUGCAGUUCCAUUCAUCGGCUUCCUUCUGUCAAAUGUUCUCCUUUUACUGAUGUGAACCACAAUUUCUCUUCUUCCAAGUUUUCUCCGACCAGUAGUGUGUCCCUCUCUCUCCCUGAAAUUAACGUUGUGUAAUUCCAUCCAAAUUUACAACAUAUUUUAAACACUGCUGCAUGUUGACUAAAACAUGUUGCAACACACUUCCAGCCAUGUUUUUGAUCCCUGCCGGAUUUGUUGCCCUGAUACAGUGAGGAAUCUACCUUGUACAGACUGUUUGUCUGCACUUUACCCAAGUCAGUGGUUUAGUUGCAUUUGAGUCCUGUUUUCUUCCUUUGAUUUUGUGAAAUUGUGUACAAACCUUUAUGGUGCGUACUGGCUGAAGCAUACUAUGUUUGGAGGUCCCGUGACCCUAUAGUGGAACCUAUUAUGAUAUCUUGUACAGACAUCUUCCCCAUCAUCAUGAACCCAAACUAUUGCAGUGGUCCUGUAACUCUCCAUGUGAGUGACCAUCUGCUCAAAGAAAUGUUUUCCAAUACGUUGUUUAUGAACACAUGCCUGCAGAAAUAAUAACAUUCCCAUUAGCUUGAGAUGCACUUUGUGUUUACUGGUAAUUAGUGAAUGUUGGCAUACUAACACGCUUAAUUAAGAUGGUUAACAUGGUAAACACACCUGCCAUACAAUGCGUCAACAUUGACAGCCUAAGUAUUUUUGGCUUAUUAGCACUUAGCUUGGACACAGUGGGGCUUUAAGCUAAGUGCAGCCGCAUAGAGCCAACCACAUAACUGUAUACUGUGGUAAGUCGCUGUCCAGCAGGGCCCCUAAUUGAGGUCAGAAGUGAACCAAAGCUGGACAAUCUGACUACUUGCCCUGAUGAAAUGCACGUCGAAGCAUGAAAAGAGUGUUGUGGGUGAUUUAAGGCCUGCUGAGGACAAAAGGGGCUCUGCAUCAGGCAUUGUAAUGAGUGCCAUCGCCCAAAAAAGGCCCAGCGUGGGGGGGUACGAGGCAAAGUAGAAAUCACAGUUUAGAGCCAGAGACAGAUCCAAUUCCCUUACCCUGUGUAAUUACCGUGGAUCAGGAUUUAUCAGUGGUAGACAUCAGCCUUGGGAUCUCAGUGAAAAAGAGCAAAAAAAUGUUCAAGGGAAGCAGAAGGAGAUGCGUAGAGAGCCGUCUCAAAAAACACCAGCUAAUGUUGAAUGGGGGAUUAUCAGGCGCACGUCAACCAUCGCGCUUCAGACUCAGCCGAUAGGUAAGCCCGGAGAAUUAAGGCAGCCUUGCUAGACCGCAGGCCCUUAUCUUUUUUGACACAGGUUUUUUCAGAAGGACUGCUUUGAUUUUAAGCUAAGGGCUUCACAAAUGCCCGCAUUUCUUUUUAAGAGUUGAUGAGAUACAGUGGAUCAAAAGGAUCACAUGUGGAAGAUAUUAAAAUGCAACAUACAUCUUAGAUAUGCAACAUCCCGUAAAUCUCAUGUGUGUGUUUCCCAUUUUAUUUUGUCACUAAUAUACCCUGUCAUUCCAGUUCCUGUCCUUGUGUUCCUCCUGAUCCCUUAUUCGCAAUUCACCUGGCCUUGGUUUUUCACCUGUGCCAACCCCACAUUCUGUAUAUUCUCCCGUUUCCCCUGUCCGGCUGUGAGGUUUUCGUUGUGUUACCCUGUGUACUCAUGACUUUCUAAUAUUCCCUUCUAGUGUUUGUUUUCCGUGUUUUUUUUCGACUUUGCCUGUACUUGACUUUUGAAUUUUGCUGUCCAUUGACAGACCUCCCGUGUAAAACCACCUUCCGUCUCCUCGUCUCCUGUGUUGUCUUUUGGUCCUGGGUCUCUGCACUGACCCGGAAUCGUCACAGUGAUCCUUAACAACAUUCCUUUAUGCAUUUUAAAUAUUUAUACUCACCCAAAGGGACAUUUUACACAGAUAUGAUCCAACAUGGUACACGUCAAUACAAUUAAUACAACACCUCAUACAUCUGUGGCAGCAACAACUGUCACUGAAAGUAAUGAGCUGUUUAUGUCACCUGUCAACAGAGGUGAGUGGUCAUGGAUUUCUCUGUGAGGCAAUGGAAACCCUUUACAAAGCACACGAAAUGCACAUGGCUGCUCAGCCUCACUAAUCACUAUUCUCUUCUAAGCAUACAAAACCACAGGGCCUGAGAUCAUUUCACAGCAGUCAAGUGAAUACAUUAAUGAAUAUUACAUUCUCUGAGCUACCAGGGUCUUUACUGGCUGUUACACUAGGAUUCAAAUAUGGUACCCGUCUGCGGCUGAGGGUCAUGAAUAAUCAAAGUGAGAUUCAAAGGAUGUUAUAAAAAUGCAGGUGAUCUAAGAGUUCGUAGGUCUUGGUUGGAUUCUGUUAGGAUUUAAAUGAUGGAGUGUAAAACUGGAAAAGGCAUGGUGAGGCUGCAUGCUAUGCUGCCUUCCGGAUAAGCUCGAUGUUGGAAUGUUCCCACUUCAAACCUCCAUGUGUUCCAGGCAAAAGGCAUUAUAUUUAAAUAAAUAUUUUACAUAAUACAUAAUAUAAUUUGAUAUAUAUUUAAGUGUUUUUUGAGAAGAUCCUUUUUUGACGAGAAAAUAACUUUCAGAGUAUGUAUCAGAAGUGGACACGUCGGCGUGACGUCACUCAUCGGUAGUUUAGCGUUUGCAUCUCGGAUUUAAGUUGUCAACAUCUUGUUAUUUUUGCAACCAGAAGUAAAACUAGAGGUUGGAGUAAUGUAUAUUCAAACACCUGAUCGGACAUUUUUAAGCAAUACAAAUGCAUAAAAUGACUUGAGUCCACUGAAAACACAGUGACUUGACAUUACAUUACUCAUGUUUACAAUGUUUACAGGCAAUACAUUAUUUGAGACAGACAUUUUCUCAUUGAUUGGGUUUUUUCAGAGACAGAGGUUCCUGCCUGAAGGUGCAUUCACAACAAAAGCGAAGCAAAUAUUUUGAGCGAGAAAACACAAUACAAAUUCCCCAAAUGUCGCGAAUAAAGCGCAAAAAGCUGUUUCCCUAUCAGCGGUGAGAUAUGCCUUUUGUCUUUACUGAUGUUUUCUUUUUCCCACUGAUAAAAACCAAGUUCCAUUCAUUAAACAAGUAAUUGAUUAAUUAAAGGUU